rnacentral:lncRNA from 1 species
AUGAUUUUUUUAUUUUUUAUUUAUUUUCUCUCACAUUUUUGGAGCUACAGGCUUACCGACCAUGGUAGUUAAUUCGAAUUGAAGUCACGGUUUUGUUUAAAACCCGCUACCAGCGUCCGGAAAAUCAGUUCAUGGCGAAACCGAAAUAUGUUAUUGGCAGCGGUGAAUCGGUACUUCAUCUCUCCUCUUUCCUACCUGCUUUGUGUUUAUACUUUGUUAAUUAUGCUUAAUAGUUUUGUUAAUUGUUUACCUCUUUCUUUGAUUAAUUUGUUGAAACAGAUUGUUUACCUAACUCUUUAUUUUUGUGAUUACUUUUUUUGUUAAUUGUUUACCUUGCUCUUUCUUUCUGUGAUUCAAUGUGGCUGCUGCUUAAUUUGUCUCAAAAUAAGCUUAUUGGUUCUGUGCCCUAAGCGAUUUAAGGGGCUGUUUGAUAAAAAUUGAAUGAAUCUGAAUUUGAAUCUGAAUUAGCUGAAUCUGAAUCUGAAUGAAAAAUAUUGUAUGAUAAUUGAUAUGUCUAAAAUAUCUGAAUAACAGUAUUUUACUAUUUUACCCCUCUAAACUAUGCUGAACAAGUAUAUAAUUUUGUCUAGGCGUAUUUAAAAAAAUUAAUUAAAUACAAUAUUCAUUGUACAACAAAUAAAAAUAAAUAAUUUAAAUAAAUUAUCAAACAAAGUAUUGAAUAAUUCAAACAAUUAUACUACUUAAUAAACACGACGGUGGAUUGAAUAAAAUAAAGGGAACUGAUUUUCACAUAAAUAAAAAAUAUAAACAUCAAAAAGUUCAAAAAAAAAAAAGGGUUGCAAAAUCCAUUUUGAGCCUGUAGGUAUAUACUUAAAAUUUAGAGACCACAAAAUUCUGACUUUACACCCAAAUAGGACAGCAGCACACAUCAAGAAUUCCUUGUUCGUUUUUUCUUUCCUCCACAACCAGCUGAUUCUUCUCCUUCUUCUGUAAUUUUGGAUCACUGAUCGUAACGAACUCGAUUGGAUCAAUUUGAAUUAGGGUUUCAUCAUGGACGAAGUGAUGACUGUGUCCGAUGCGACGUCGUCCGGCUCCCAAUUCACAUCACCGCCGUCAUCUCCAGCUUCUCUCCUCCCGGUGAACAUCCCUCUUCUCUCUGCCUUCCUCGCCUGCGCAAUCGCUCAAUUCCUCAAGCUCUUCACCACCUGGAGCAGCGACGAGAGCCAGAUGAAGAGCAACGCUAGGGAUGGAGAAGCGGCAGGCUAUUUGGGUAAAACUCGUGAUUCGGUCAAUUCAGCCCAAUUUUUUAAAAAGAAUCGGUCAGAUGUAUUCAGACCAAUUCAGAUCUCAAAUUUUGUAAACAAACAGUCUGAAUGGCUGAAUCGUUCAGAUUCAGAGCCAUUCAGACCGUUUCAGAGCAAAACAAACAGGGCCUAAGCCCUUUUUAGUAUUCUACUUAACUUGGUUGGUUACUAACUUGUGUUCAAUAUGAUUGAUAUCUGUUUCUUGUUUCCUUCACUUUUUCCCCUGCAAUCCAUAUAUUUUUGCAGUGAGUUUCCCCCAAUACAACUGGUUUAUAGUGUCAAAAGCUUUUAUUACUUUAUUAAUUUACCCUGCUAACUCAGUAGGGAGUGUGUUUAUGCUUCUAUGAGUGUCCAGAAUUUUGUAAAUAUGUUUCCAAAUUAUGGAGAAUGCUGAAAAAAUUGAAACUGAGUGAUGGGCAUGUAUUUGAGUGUAUCCUUGUUGAUCUUGGAGUCCGAUUGUGCACUGGCAGACCCAGGAUUUCAUGCAAGUGGGGUCACAAAUAUUAUAAAAAUAAAAUAAAAGUGGAAUAAAUAAAUCUCAAACUCAACACCAAAUUAAUUAACGUGAAAAAUACAUAAAACAACUUAAAUUCAAUAUAGUGAACAUAUACAAAAUCAUUGGCUGAGCCUUUAUCCCUUGCGGAACUUUUCAAUCGUUUAAAGUCAUAAAAUUGAAAUAUUGAGCUGAAUUUAUAAAAAGAGCAUUUUACAAGUUAGAAUAGAAUCAAAAGAAAUGUUCAGUUGUAAAAUUGAAAUGGUGAAAUAAACUGAAUAAAAAGAGGAAUGUAUAAAGUUAAGGCUGAGGAUAUAAAUUCAACAAUAAAUAAGUGCAAAUUAGAUUUCCUGGUGACUAGAUCUUAAAAAAAAUAGUUUAAAACUCACCAUUGACAGCUUGACAUGAAUCAAUUACAAAAGAAGUAAAAAGGUAAAUAGAAAACAAAGAGGGGCUAAAUUACCAUCAUAGCAAACUGCUCUUGCUGGGUAUUUUGUAUUUAACAAGUGAAAUUACAGUUUUAGUAAAAAAGGGAGCGACUUCAAGUGAUCCCACUGGACCCAGUGUGGGCUUGUCACAAUGUUCUAGAAGGCGGGGCCCUAGGCGAGAUUUUUUAUUAUAAGUCAAUUUUAAUAUUUUAUCUUACAUCUAUCCAAUCAAAACAAUAAUAUAAAGCAAAACAAUUUAUAAUAAAGACAUUUGCUUAAAGUUCAAACACAUAUCUUUAACGUAUUAGUUUUAUUCAUAAACAAGAUUGCUAUUAAAUAAUAAAAUUUAAAAUUUCAAAAAUUCAAUUCAAUAUUAAAACUUAAGAAACUAAACAUAAAUUUAAGAAUUAUAUUGAAUUAAACUAAAUAUUACAAAUAUAUCAUCAUUUAUAUAAUUUGAAGUUGGUACAAGUUCAAAAAAUUAAAACUAUAAUAAAAUUAUCCAUUUUGACUUGAUUUUGUUGUGAUUUGAUAUGCUACAACGUACAUUAUGAAUAUGGUAAAUCAUUAAAAAAAAAAUAUUAAGAUCUGGUUUGGGUAGUUAUUAAAAUUAUAAAAAAAAACUCUCCGGCCUUGCCUUGCCCUGCCCGCUUAGGCCCCACCUUUUUCGCCUAGAUCCUUCCUAAUUUCCUGAAGGGAUUUUUUGGCCUAGGCGAGGCGCCAGGGAGACCUAGCGCCUAGGUGGGGCCUAAGCAACCGCCUUUUAGAACACCGGUUUGUCACUGCGAUAGGGGAUAUGUUAUCACUUGAGUUGUAUUCUAUCAUGAACGCCUACAUGAGCAGAGCGCGCCGGCUGCUAAAGUUUAGAUCACAUAAUUUUCGACCAUAUAGUCUAAAUUAAUUUUAUGUAAAAACUGGAGAAGUCUUUUGGCUAUUUCCGUUCACAAUAGUUAUGUUUGGUUAACCAUUUCUUUUGAUAAUUGUGAAAAAGACUUAACCGAGGGGGAUUUGUUUUAUAGUGCUCUGGAGCUAGUAAGAUAUAAACAAUUAUGAACUUGGUGUACUUUUUUGGUAUAUUUUGUAUGCUUUGUUUGUAGAUUUUAUUCCAUGUACAAAUUGGUUCCUUUACUGCCAUUACCUGUUGAAAAACAUAGAAAAGUAGAGAAAAUUUUAUAUUUUGCAAAUUAUACAAGUCAAAUUAUAUUUGUUAAUUAUAAUAGAGUACUUUUUUAAGAACAAAGAAAGUAUUCCCACAAAAAUGAACUCGGUUAUGUUCAACCAUUCGGGCAUCCCUUCUUGUCUUUUGGUAAUUGAUAUAUUUGUUAAGUCGUCACCUAAGCGACGCUUAGGCGUCCACUCGCUGGCGAAGGCCAAGUCGUCUAGUCGACUUGUUGGAGGGAUAAAGUCGAGCGCUCAGAUGGAUAUGUCGUCGCCUUGGACGACUCAGAGACUCCUUGGACGACUUGGACUCUAAGCGGUAACUUGGUGAUGCCGGGUAUGGUUCGACCCAAAGUCCUAUUGGGUUAAAAAAAAUCUUCGAUCGUUCGAUCAAGCCAAUCACUAAACAUUUGCGAAUCACGAUUAAGAUAGAGAGAAGGUGAGGGAGUAGGGGUGUAAGUCGAGUCAAGUAGUUCGGUACUCGACUCGAGAUUGGCUCGAAAAUAUGAUCCAAACCUCGAAUUCGAAGUUGUUCCGAAUCGAAUCUGAUCCAUACUCGUUUUCUGUUUAAUGAUACACGAGUCGAAUUCGAGCAUACCAGUGUUCGCUCAGAUUAGGGUUCGAGUAUUUUAUUUUUUCUCGAACCAGACUCGAUACCUGCUCGAUGGAUCAUAUUCGAAUAUUGGUCUGAUCCAUGCUAUUAAGCUAAAUAUGUGAUAUUUGUAUCAAUCUUUAUAAUUUAUAAAGUGUAGUAUGAAAUUGUGUAAACUUGUACUUGAAUAAAUCAAUGAAUUGAAUAUCAAUUUUUAUUACAUUCUUUAUAAUUUCAAUACAUAAAUAAAAGUGAAAAAGUUUUAUAUAUAAAUAUUAGUUAAGUAACCAAUUUAGUAUGCGAUGGUUCACAUUUAAGUGAAAUGGUUCAUAUUCGAAACUCAAUUUGAAGGCUCAUGAGUAGCUCGCUUUAUAAACGAGUCGAGUACUUACGAGCCGAGUAGGUCCGAGUAAUGAUCCGAAUUGAAUCUAGCGCAAAAAUAUAAAUCCCUUAUCAAAUCCGAGUCGAAUUCGAGCUCAAUUUUUUCGAGUCGAGCCGAAUCUGAGCAUGAAGGUGUUCGCUGAGAUUCGACUUGUUUACACCCCUAUGAGGGAGAGAAGUACCGAUUUCGGCAACUCACUUCGACGAUUCCGACGACCUCUAUCAACUCCCGGCGGCGACUUUACAGUUUACAGUACAAGUAUUCUUCUCUGCUUUUGAUCUUCUCUUCUUCUCUUCUUCUAAUCUUGGUUUUUUUCCAUCCCUCUUUUGGUUCUUCUGUUCUUCUAAUCUUCUUCUACUUUGACUUUGCUUUGCGUUGCACUCUGUUGUUCACUACUUCACUAUCUGUUUAUUACUUAUGUGUGCUAUAUUAUAUAUAGUACAUAUGUAUAAAUUAUAAUAGUGUAUACUUGAUAACUUAGUGUAUAAAUUAUAGGAGUGUAUAAAUUCUUUAUACUUUAUUUAUAUGUUCAUUAUUGUGUAAGUGUAUAAAUUAGUAAAUUACAUGUAUAGUAUAAUGUAUAAAUUCAUUUACUAAUUACCAUGUUUUGAGAAUUGAGAUUAAUGUAUACUGUAUAGUUGUAUACUUAAUGUGCUACAGUGGUACUUCACAACCAACUAUUGCUUAUGUAAUAUGAUGAUGCAUGCCUAGUGCUUAAUGUAAAAUUGUAAAUAGCCUGCCUAAUGUGCUCAAGCCUUAAUGCAAUAAGUAAUAACUAAUAAAACUUGUUUUCUUAAUUUAAAAAAAAAAUUGCAGCAUGUAACAUCUUAAUAAAAAAAAUUGUAAUGCACUGUUUUUUCCCCAAUGCCAUCUAUGUUUACAUGUUUUAUUAUUACAAAUUACAAUGUCUUGCUUGUUUGUAUAAUUGUAUUUUGUAUAUAGUUAAAUUGCUAAAAGUUCAGGAGCGAAGGGUUACGAUCCAAGCAAGGAUCCUAAAAAAAAGGCCAAGUCUAAGGAUCUAGGGUGGGAAUAUGGAUUUUUUCCAGAAUUGACCGAUAAAAAUCUCGUGCAAUGCACACUCCGUGGGAAAAAGGUUCGUGGAGGAAUCAAGAGAUUCAAGCAACAUCUGUGGGUAUGGGAUGUGGCUAAGUGUCCUUGAACUAUAACAGAAGUUGCAAACGAGAUGCAUCAAGCAAUAAUGAGUACAAAAAGAACAAACCAAUUCAAUUUCAGCAACAAAAGGAACAAGCCAAUUUAAUUUGAUGACAGUGACGAAGUAGAAGAAAUUUAGUCAUCUAAUAUUCUAAGCAAUACAUCCAAUCCUUACAAUGCUUUCUGUGGACAAGGAAAUCGUACCUUGCUAAGAUUAGGGUUUCGUGUUGGCUAAGGAGGAGAGAAAUCCACGAAGAGCACGGAAUUGUUUGAUUGAUUGAAGAGGGGAGAACGACAGGUGAGCGAUUACUCCAAUGACGCGUGGCAGAAUUCCUAGAAUCCGGAAACAGUGUUAGGGUUAUUGGGAUUCCAAGAGCCUUCUUGAGUCCUUCGAGUUGAGAGAAUGUCCAAACCCUUUUUAGUGCUUUUAGGUGGAAUAUCCGAGCCUUAAGUCACCAAAAGAGUCCAAGUCCUGCGUCUGAAGAGAGGUCCCUUCGUUCAUAGAAUGGAAGGGGUAUUUAUAGAGCUUCCUGGAAUUUAAGUAAUCACAUGUCAGGCACAUGUUUUCAGGGAAAUUCCAGAAAUACCCUUUAGUCAUUAGAAUAAUGCCCAUAUCGCCCUGUCCUUCUAGCCGCUAAUCCAAUCCCUUUUGUGUUUUUAAUGAGGUCGUGGAACCCUAAUUUGCACUUGGGCCCACAUUUGCCUCCUGCGCGAGUCGCGUUUCCAAAGAGACGAUCGUGCAAGAAUAUUUCGAGCUUUCGAACAAAUUUUUUUUUUAAAAAUCUUUUCAAAUCUUGCUCAAUCUUUGUUUCCUUAAUUUUUUGGAAACUAAAUCACAAUAAAUCAAAUUAAAUCUGAAAACUUCAUAUUAAAAAUUCAAAUCUUUAUAUAUAUAUAUAUAUAUAUAUGUUUAAUAUGAACUUAAUAUGUUUUUUUUUUCUUAAUGUUAUAUUGUUUAAUUUUUGUAGUUUACUUCUUGGAAAGUUUUUUUUUUUAAUUUUGAUGGACUAUUAUUUUUUUCUUCACGGAAACCUCCUGUUUGACUUUACAAGAUUAAGGAAUCAAGUAAUAUUUUAUACAUUAAUUUGUUAAUUUCUUAUAUUUACGUAUUUGCUCGACUUUUAUAAAAAGAACAAUUACAGAAAAAUAAAAAAAGUGGUUGUACCCGAACAAUAUUAGAUAGAAGACUUACCCUAUCUUUUAUAUAUUAUUACCAUAAAGAUCAAAGAAUUGAGGCCUUGCCGUCAUAUCAUUCUGAGAAAAAGAAGAAGGUGCUUCGGGUUUCGCGACUGGGCUAUGCGCCUACAUCGUAGUAAGUAUAAUAUAAACCAACAUAAAGGGUUAGAUUUAUUCUUAAGCAUGUGCAUGACUUUUGCCAUAAUCGUUUGUUUUUGGUUGAUUAAUUCUUUGAUUAUUGUUUGGUGGGUCAAUAUAUAUAUAUGUAUAUAUAUAUAUAUAUAUAUUAGUAAAAAUUUGAUUCCUACUUUCCUGCUUUAAGACUUUAGGGGUGUGUUUAUUGUUGUACUCUACGUUGACUAUUACUAUAAUUUAGUAAGACUCCCUACAUGUGGCCGAACCUAGAUAGGCCGAACCCUAGGGGCGACACUCCUUCGCUUUAAGAUUUUAUUUUUUUUGAUUGAUUUUAUUUUUUUCGUAUAGCUUCUUUACGUUUGAAUUCUUUUUGAUUAUUUCUUUUAUUAUUAUUUUCUAUUUCCAGGUAAUUUUAGUUUACCUUUUUCUGGCCAUCUCACCUUAACUGGAUUUUGGCUCGGAUAGGCAACACUGCAGCAAGGGAGCAUCAAAGAGACUUUCUUCAAUCCGAGCGAGAGGCAACAAGAUGAUUCCCCACUAUAGGGUCGAACCCUAUGGGGGACCCAAACCCUUGGGGAUCCAUUCCUUCUUUUCGUCUUCGCUUUUCAAUUUGCUUACUUGUAUGUUUUCUUUCAAAUUUAUCUCGACUUGCUUCCUCUAUUUCUCUUUUCUGUUUCAGGCAAUUGUAGUCUUUCUUUGUUCCUGAGCCCCAUCACCUUGAUCAUAUCUUGAUUUGUGGAGCAACAGGACCUCAAAGGAAUAAAGGGAACAGCCCCUAGGUGGCCGAACCCUAUAGGAUUUUUCUUUCUUUCAGGCACCUCCAAUUUAUCUUUUGUCUUCCGAGCCCUAUUACCUUGAUUAUAUCUCGAUUUUUUCCCUCGGAUAAUAAAGAAAGAUUUGACGUUCUUGUCAAGUAAAAAACAUGAAGGGAGAAAAAAAAAAAUGCUCUGCAUGCGGCGAAACCACCCCAGUUGACCAAACCCUUGGGGGACGAACCCUGGGGGGGACGAACCCUAGGGGGAAAUCAACGUUUAGAUGGAAUUAUGCUCUUUAGAGCCCUUUAUGCUGAAUUCUUCUUGCUUGCAUGCCCUUUUCGUUAGACAUUAUGCAGACUCGGAAACCGCCAAGGAGGCCCCCUUCCUCAGUGAUUGGGGUGAUUGGGGAAGGGCUCCCCCCUUUGGUCUUUCCAACGUCUUUUGGGAGCAAGGCUAGACUUAUGACCGUACAACUUUUUCUCCGUCAGAGAAGGAAGGCUUGUUUCUAUAUGCAGCGGCUUGUGGAGGUUGGGAUGACUUUCCCCAUUCCGAUCGCAUUCCCCGCAUAUGCAUAAAGAAGCAAGAAUACCCUUUCAGUCCCCUUCGCUUCCUGUCUGAUUCAUUUGAUCGCCUUCAAGAAUUGGCAGGAUUGGACCGACAAGAUCCUUGGAAACACAAAUUACGUGGAUAUACUCAAGAGUGCGGGCAUCUUUUGUUGUUUUCAACUAUGCAGAGACCUACGUAUCCAAUAAAACCAUAACACCCUUACUGUAUUGAUCUCACGAUGGUGCUUCUCUACUUGCACAUUCGUCACUGCUUGGGGGGAAUGCACCUCUACGCUGGAGGAUGUCUAUGUCAUCUACCAGUAAGCAUUUUUUUUCCCUGCGCGUGAGUCACGCCUUUGGUGAGAUAAUCGCGCAAAAUAUUGUAAGUGUUGAAGUCUUGAUUCCAGUGUCUGAACACUUCGCGGGGCUUGAUGUUUUGCAAGCCUCGCAAACGAAAGUCCUAGGAGAGGGAACCUCUAGGGGAACAAACCCUAGAAGGGCGAGCCUUAGAGGAGCUCUCCUGGGAUAUUUUCUUUUCUUUAUAAUCAAGAAGUCAUUGAGAACCAAGAAGUCCGUGAAGGCCUGAAAGCCUCGAAGGCCUGAUAGCCUCGAAGACAUGCUGAUAGCCUUGAAGACCUACUGAUAGCCUCGAAGGCCUGAUAGCAUCUAAGACCGGAAGAUAGCCUCGAAGACCUGUUGAUAGCCUUGAAGACCUACUGAUAGCCUCGAAGGCUUGAUAGCAUCGAUAUCGAAGACCUGAUAGCCUUGAAGACUUGAUAGCAUCGAAGACCGGAAGAUAGCCUCGAAGACCUGCUGAUAGCCUCGAAGGCCUGAUAGCCACGAAGACCAAGCUUUAAGUAUUCCUCUCUCUUCAAUUCGACAGGUCAUGGCCUUUAGAUCAUGAACUUUCGUAGGUUUUUUUUUUCAUUUCCUGUAUCAGAAAAUCAUGUACAUAUAUUUUAUACAAACUAACACUUGAAUCUAUACUUUUCUUUUUUUUUUAUAAAUCAGAAGAAAUAAUCAAGUAUAAGUGAAAGUUUGACAAAUUUAUUGAUAAUCAAAUUGUUUUUAACAAAAAGCAUAACGUUUCAUAUAAUAAAUCUUGCUUUUGUCGAAGAAAGCAUAACGUUCGCCACUUUUAGAGAUAAAGUGUAACUUUUUUUUUUUCGGGGUUGAGGGCUUAUACUCAGGUGCCUCAAUUACUUUUAUUAAAGUUGAAAGUAUAACUUUUUGGGUCUGAAGACUUAUAGUCAGGUGCUUCAUUCACUUUUGAUGAUAAAGUGUAAUACUCGGGUGCCUCGUCACUUGGGUCGUCCAAUUUUUUUGGCAAGUGCAGUCUACGAGGACUUGAAAUCAAGUGUCUCGUCACCUGGGUCAUCCAAUUUCUUGGCAAGUGCAGUCUACGAGGACUUGAAAUCGGGUGCCUCGUCACUUGGGUCGUCCAAUUUUUUGGCAAGUGCAAUCUACGAGGACUUGACCACCAUUUAAAGUGGACCACCAUCUUGGGUGGGUUAUUUUUUAAUUUUUUUUUUGUUCGUCAAUUCUUGUGCCUCCUCCCUUGGUCAUCCAAUUUACUUGGCAAGGGAUAUUCCUGAGGGCUUAAACCACCAUUUUUGGUGGACCACCAUCUUGGGUGGAUUUUUAACUCAUCUGUAGUUCAGAGUUUUUUUCAAUGGUACGUAGAGCCAGUAUUUGAGUUCUUGACUUCCGGGACUGCACCGUGGGUGAUAGUGUUGCACGUUUCUUCUCCUAGUUCAAUCUCGGCCGCCAGUUUCUCAUGGUAUAUCCUCCGCAGACUGUAACCGUCCAUAGUGGAAUGCCCUGCGUAUUGAUGGUAUACACAGAAGUCUGGUCUUCUUUUCAUUUCUUCCGUUACAACCAACCGAGGCCUUGGAGGUUUCACCACUCCGUGCUCGACCCAUUGUUCGUACAGACUCCUGAACGCCUUCUCGCUGCAUGUGAUAGCCUUCAGAACUGGCAUUCUGGUAUACUUGUCCCCAUACUUUUCUCUACUUCAUUCAAAUUUCUCAUUCUUCUCCCUCUUUCCCCCCUUGUGGUUUUGACUGAGAAUCCACCAAAGCCACAGUUGAUGUCAUCUUGCUCUUCCAUGUAUCCAUCGCAUGGCUGGUGGGAAAUGUCAUGAUUCCCCCCAAGUCUUGUGCAAAAGAUGAGAGGGUCGCAAAUGAAUCACACGCCUUGGUAAUGAGGUGGGGCUUGAAGGCGUCUAAAGCACCAUUGUUGCAUAUGCUAACCAAGUUCUUUUCUUCAAUUGGUUCUACACACUUAUGUGCUUGGGCCCUGAACCUAUCCACGUAAUCUGACAGCUCCUCGUUUGGCUUCUGCUUGAAUCGCAUGAGCUCUACGAUGGUUACCUGUUGCACAUAGAAAAAUUUCUUAAAAAUUUGCAAUUUUAGAUCAUCCCAAUCAUGGACUGAUCCCUUCUCCAUGUUGUAGUACCAACUUGGAAUGGUUGGCAUUUGCACUUGUGAAAAUGCUGGAAGAGCGGUUGGGAUGAUGUGUGUCUGAGAUUGGCUUGCUUCUAACCUGGGUUGUGGCACGUCGCUACUGUUCUGGGGCUCAAAGUUGAUGAUUGGAACCAACCAAUUAUUGAAGACGCUUCAGAAGAGAGUUCAACAUCACCAUACAUGGCCAAUCAACAACAAACCAACACAGGAAGGCAAGGCGAUGAAAAUGCUGGAAGAGCGGUUGGGAUGAUGUGUGUCUGAGGUUGGCUUGCUUCUAACCUGGGUUGUGGCACGUCGCUACUGUUCUGGGGCUCCAAGUUGAUGAUUGGAACCGACUAAUUCUCCGUCGAUGGAGGUACAAUCUGGUUCUCUUUGUUGUUGCUGCCAUUGUUGUUGUCUUCCACUCCUACUUGUUCCCCCUGCGAACUACCUGGGAACAUGGCCUUGAAGGUGGGAAUCUGCAUCAACUGCUGGCAGAAAUUCCCCAUUUCCUCUUGUUUUCUUUGCAUUUCCAGCAUCAUGACCAUCAUCCUCCCUUGGCCUUCUCGUGCUUCCUUCAAUGCCUUGAGCAUCUCCAGUUGCACAACAUUCGUCUGCUCUCCGCUUGCAUCAUCGCCUUGCCUUCCUGUGUUGGUUUGUUGUUGAUUGGCCAUGUAUGGUGAUGUUGAACUCUCUUCUGAAGCAUCUUCAAUAAUUGGUUGGUCAAAAUCCAGAUUUGCGCCUUGGAAAGCUUGAGUUGCUUGCCUUGGAACUGGAUCCGGUGAGGUAAUAUUAUUUGUUGGUGAAGUAGCUCUUCCUGUAGUUCUCCCACUUCGAGUUGUGGGCAUACCCUUCACGAAUUCUACAUCUCCCUAGCAGAGUCGCCAAAUAAAUGUGGGCAAGGAAAUCGUACCUUGCUAAGAUUAGGGUUUCGUGUUGGCUGAGGAGGAGAGAAAUCCACGAAUAGCACGGAAUUGGUUGAUUGAUUGAAGAGGGGAGAACCACAGGUGAGCGAUUACUCCAAUGACGCGUGGCAGAACUCCUAGAAUCCGGAAACAGUGUUAGGGUUAUUGGGAUUCCAAGAACCUUCUUUAAGUCCUUCGAGUUGAGAGAAUGUCCAAACCCUUUUUAGUGCUUUUAGGUGGAAUAUCCAAGCCUUAAGUCACCAAAAGAGUUCAAGUCCUGCGUCUGAAGAGAGGUCUCUUCCUUCAUAGAAUGGAAGGGGUAUUUAUAGAGCUUCCUGGAAUUUAAGUAAUCACAUGUCAGGCACAUGUUUUUAGGGAAAUUCCAGAAAUACCCUUUAGUCAUUAGAAUAAUGCCCAUAUCGCCCUGUCCUUCUAGCCGCCAAUCCAAUCCCUCAAUCAAUUCCCAAAACGAGCCGCCUCCCACGAGCCUUCUGCCUUGGGACACGUGGAGGCUUCUCUCGGGUUGUGUACAUUUAUUUCCGUCUUUUCCGUCUUCAUUCAAUUAGGCCUUGCGAACCCUAAUUUGCGUUUUUAAUAAGGUCGUGGAACCCUAAUUUGCACUUGGGCCCACACUUUCUUUGCAACUAUUCCAAGUUUUGGAGCUGCAACUAAAAGGAUGAAGAGUGCAUUUCACUUCACUAAGCCACAACUACAAUCAAAGACAAUUGAAGCUCAUAUUAAGAAAUCUCCCGAAAAAGUUGUGGACGAAAGACAUCGCAAAGGUUCUAGCCAAACAACUUUGGAGAAUCGUCUAAGGUCACCGGAAAAGAAAGAGAAAGUUCACAUGCACAUUGUGAAUUAGUUCUAUGAGCAUGACAUCCCUUUUAAUGCAACAAAUUCAAGAAGUUUUGAGGUGAUGAUAGAGGCUAUCGGGCAAAAUGGGCCGGGUUUGAAGCCUCGUAUCACGAGUUGAGGGUUUCUUUUUUAAGGAAGGCAAAGACUAAAACAGAGGAACUGAAGAAGAAGUACUUAUUUUAGAUGAAUGGACAAACAGAAGAGACAAAUACUUGAUAAAUUUUCUUGUUAAUAGUCCGGACUUAUUUUAUGGGAUCAAUUGAUGCUUCUAGUUAAUCUCAGGAUGCAAGUAUGUUGACAGAGUUACUUGAUGGGAAGAUCAAAGAGAUUGGGGCUAAGCAUGUUGUGCAAGUAUUGACAGACAAUGCCUCAAAUUAUAAGGCAGUGGGUCAUAUUUUAAUGAAGAGGAGGCCUACUUUGUUCUGGACACCGUGUGUAGCCCAUUGCCUAGACCUUAUGCUAGAGGACAUGCAAUUUGAAGCAAUUUAAGUGUACAAUCAAGGGGGCAAGAAAAAUAACAACAUUCAUUUAUAAACACGGUCGCCUUCUUGAUGCGAUGAGAAGCAAAACAGAUGGGAGGGACCUUGUGAGAUCGAGAGUCACCCAAUUUGCUAUAUACCCUUCAAAGCUUGUGCAAGCACAGGUAUGCUUUGAGACAUUUAUUCGUCAGUGAUGAUUGGACACGAGGUUGUCAACUACAGUUAUUUUUGCUAGUAUUUGACAUGUCGUUGAAGAUUGUAUUAGAGCAUCACAACCAUUACUUGUUGUCUUGAGGAUUGUGGAUUCAGAUGAGAGGCCAACUAUGCCUGAAGUUUUUUGCUACGAUGGAAUUUGCAAAGAAGAAAAUCAAAGAUGUCUUUAACAACAAAUAAAGGCUAUACAAGAAAGUGAUAAAUUAUCGAGCGAAGAUGGGCAUGCCAAAUGGAGCAAAACUUAUAUGGGGCAGCAUUAUUUCUCAAUCCGGUAAAGUAUUUUGACAUCAUAGAAGAAGAAUCUGAUUUAGCUUACAGGCUACGUAACAACUUCAAUGAUAUUCUUUCAAACAUGGUUCCCGAUCAAGAUUUGGCGAAAAGAUAAGAAGCAACCUAGCCGAUGUUUAUGAAUCUUCUCGUGAUACUUUUCUAAAGACAUGUCGAUUAGGCAAUGAAAGUAAAAAAAAUCAUAGUAAAUAUAUUAAAUUAAUCUCCGUCUCGUAUUAAACGUCCUAAUUUCUUUUUUAAGAUGUUCCUAAAUAAAUGUCUUAUUUCUAUAUUAGUAACUAUUUUUAUCUUAUUUUUUCACUUAUACACUCGUAAUCUUUUUAGUCAACUUUUGUUGGAAACUUACGAAAUGAUAAAAAGUUUACAUUGGAAAAUGAUGUAUUGUAUACCACUUUCUCUAUCAUAUACUUAUUGGAAUGUGAGAAUAACAAUAAAAAUGAUAGAGUAGCUAGAAAUUAAUACCAACAAAUGUAGACAGUUUGCAUGUAUGGACAUAUGAAUGUAAUUAGUGGGUAAGUUUGGAGAGUUAUACUUAUUGGAAUGUGAGAUAAUAAUAAAAUGAUUUAGAGAAUUCAUGUGGGAACUAACAAGGAAUAAUUAAUGUUGGGGUCAUAGAAAAAUGAAUGGAUAAUUCAAUUAUUAAGUAAUUUAGAAUGGACAAUUUAGAUAAAAAAAUAUAUUAUUAAUUAGCGUACCGAAAUCAGUUAGGACGUUUAAUAUGGGACGGAGGGAGUACUAUAGUUGAUUUGAUUUUUUAUUUUUUUACAUCUAAUGUAGUUGAUUGGUGGAAUGCUUUGGUAGUUGUGCUAUUGAGCUUGCAAAGUUUGCAAAGUGAAUCCUCGACCUUUGUUGUUCUUCUGGUUGUGAACGCAAUUGGAGCACUUUUAAAUUUGUAAGUAUUUAGUAAUUAAGUAUCUUAUAUUUAAUAUUAAUUAGUACAUAACUAAUAUCUAUAAAUAUUUUAUAUAUUCUUUUUUGUAAUAUUUUUAAACAAAAAUUUCAAAUUCAUAUGAAGAAGAGAAAUAGGUUGGGGUAUCAACGGUUAAAUGAUUUGGUGUAUGUGCAAUACAAUCGACGAAUUGUUUCAAGGUUCCAAAAGAGGCGCGAACUUGAAAGAAACUUUGAUCCAUUAGCCCUAUAUGAUUUCGAUUAGGAUAAUGAGUGGAUAGUGCCCGAGCAAUAUAUAGUUUAUCAUGGAGAUGAUCUUAAAUGGGAGGAUGUUGAUAGAGCUGUUGGUGCAUCCAAUGCGGACGAGGGUCGCAAUCUUUGUAGAACGGGUCAUUUCCACUCACGGUGUGGUGGUAUUUUGACUUCAAAGGAACCGAGGAUAAGAUUUGUGGAUGACUCUUAUUCUGAUACUUGAGAAGAGGAGGAAGACCUUUCUAAUGAUGAUGAGGAAGUGGAUGAUGAUUAUGGCCGAAGCGUAACUACUAUUUCAAGUGAUGAUACCACUGUUGGGAGAGAUGACGAUGAUUUGACCCAUGAUGAUUAUGCUUGAUAGCUUGAGUGAUCGUUUCAUUUUGAAAAAUGAGACUUUUGAGUUGAUGAAUAUUGAGUUUUUAUGACUUUGUUUUUAUUUCUAUAUUAUGUUUGUUUGUGGCAAUGUCACAAUGAGCAUAUCUUUAUCUUUGUCUAAUGGUAUUAUAUGACUAUAUGCUUGUUUAUAUAUUUAUCUUAACAAUGAUUGUUUACUUGUUUUAUCAUAAAUUAUUGAAUUCUUAGUAUUGAAAUUUAUGGUAUUUUAUAUAUACAAUAUUAAAACUUAAGAAACUAAAAUAUAAAUUUAAGAAUUAUAUUGAAUUAAACUAAAUAUUACAAAUGUAUCACCAUUUUUAUAAUUUGAAGUUGGUAUAAGUUCAAAAAAUUAUUACUAUAAUAAAACUAUCCAUUUGACUUGAUCUUAUUCACUUCUUGUUGUAAUUUGAUAUGCUACAAUCUGCAUUAUGAAUAUGGUAAAUCAUUAGAAAAAUAAAUAUAUCAAUAUUCAUAUAAAUAUUAAAUAUAUAAUUUUAUUCGUAUAAAAUUUACGUUGUUAACGACUUGUUGACGACUAGUCGGACGCCUUGUCGCGCUUAAGCUUCCGGUUGUCGUCUCGCCUCAACUUGUCGCCUUGAUAACUAUGGUAAUUGAUGAUAAUAGGCGAUAAAUACUGAUAGGCUUAGCGCUCAUGAAGUUUUUAGUUCAAGAUCCAAUUGGCAAGGUGAAGCCUUAUCGUACAAAAUUUUGAAACGAAUAUAUUAAUGAAUAAUUGAAUAUAUUUUGUCUUGCAAAGAUAGAGAUGAAAAAUCCUAGAGUAAAUUGGGAUUUAGACAUUUAGUACUUAAUUUUCUGUAACUUGGCAAGGGUAGCUGCUCCUAAUUUUUUUCUAAUGCUACAUAUGAUUGUGUAACUUGAUCCUGCAUUUGAGCUGUUAUUUAGAAAUUUUAUGUGUGUUAUUGGAUGUGAUGGAUCAUGGGGAUAGCUGAAUGAAACAAGUAAUUACAAGUCUGGGCAACUUUCUCUAGCUAGUAAUUACACCAUUUAUGGAAGAGGUAAUGCGCUAGCCUGAGGUUUGAUUUUGAUUACCUCUAAAAUUCUCUUUAGACUAUUUUAUCUUCAUAUAUUGUGACUUUCUUUUCUGUAUGAAAUUCAUUACACUAGACUAGACCAACCUUAUCAUCGUUCAUAAUGAAAACAAGAAAUAGAAGGUAAAGUCUUAAUGAUCACGUAACAGAAUAUAGACUGCUUCAUCUUACCGAAUCAAGCUGUAUUUGUUAGUGGUACAUAUACUAAUCAACCUGAUUAUAUCUGGCACAGAUCUCUCUGAAAUGUUAUUAUUUAUGUGCAUUCCUGGAUGUUACCCAUGACAUCUUCAAUAAAAUGCCCAAGUAAAAUGUGAGAUGACCCGCCCUCCAUCACGGCCAUUCUGCUCAUCUCUUUCACCUGCUUCUUCAUUUCAGUCUCCCCAUCCAUCAGACAUCUUAUACCUUUCUCUAUCUUGUCUGCAAUCACAACCAAAGUUUCAAUUGCAGAAAGAAAAUAUUUUCUAUAAUCCAUUUUGAUCUCCACAGCCAUUCCCAACUCCUUCACCAACUCAAAUGCAUUGAGUUGCUGCUCUGCAUUUAUAGGCCAAGUAGCCAUUGGAACCCCACACCAUAUACUCUCUAAUGUAGAAUUCUAUCCACAAUGAGACACGAAUCCUCCAACCGCAGGGUGGGAUAGAACCACCACUUGCGGCACCCACCCGAUCACUUUCCCAAUCCCUGUAGUCCGUUUUAGGAAUCCUUCCGGCAACAUUUCAUUGUGAUUCUCAUACUCCUUUGGGCAUUCCCAAUAUUUCUGCCGGCUGAGGGGGGUGACAUAAUGACCACAAGAAUUGCUGUGCACUACGCUCCAAUCCAUAUGCUAUCUCCAUAACUUGUUCUUCAUCAAAACUUCCCAAACUCCCAAAGCACAAAAACACUACUGACAAUGGCGGCUGAUUGUCCAACCAGCUAAUGAUACCAUCUUCAGAAUUGUGGUUUUGUAAUGUUCCCUCCUUGCUCUCAAGGUUGAUUAUGGGUCCCACAUGGUAGACGGAGGAUCUUUUAUAUAUGUGAAAAAACCUUUAAAUGCAUAUUAUCAUUCUUUUAUAUUUGUGCAAAAAAACCUAUAAAUAUAGCACACUACAUACAGUUAUGUACUAAUUGCAAUGUUUGUCUUUUUUAAAAUCUAAAUAUAUACGUUUAAUUAUUUAUUUAAAAAAUGGUCAAUUUGACCACAAAAGUCAAUGGACGACUUUUAUCUUGGGCUGGAUAUAGGAUUAUAUAAUCAUAGAGUUAUUCAAACAUAUAUUAUUAUUAUUUUUUUACUUUUACAUGUUAAAAGUUAAUUUAUGAAUAUUUUUAUAUAUAGUUGAUAUAUAUUAAAUAAUAAUAUUAUCUUAAUUUUAAUUGAACGUAUAUUCUUAAAUUACUUGUUAAUAUUUCUUGUGGUAUUUUGACAUUGGCGUCCGACGAUUGAUAAGAAGACUCCUGCUGAGCAAUUGUAGCAACUCUGGGUGAAUGUUAUUGUAAUGCAUUAUGUAAAAUAUUAAACUAAUUUAAUAAAAAUUAAGUUGAAAUAUUUUUAAUUUUUGUAUGAUGCAAGUCGGUGCGAUGUAGUUCAAAAUAAACUGCCCAAUGUAAUUUUGGUAUAGAAAAAUCUUGAUCCGCUACUAAAUGCGAUUAUAAUUAGAUACAACCAUGAAAUUCGAAAAAUAAACAGACUAAAAUUUCUGCAGCUAUCAUCAAUAAUUUAAAAAUAAAUAAAAAUUAAUGCAACAAAUAAUUAAACAUAAAAUUAACAAUUACCAAGUCAACUCAAUUGUAAUUCUUAAACAUAAAAUUAACAAUUACCAAGUCAACUCAAUUGUAAUUCUUAAACAUAUUACUGCUAUCGAGUUAACUUAGUCGGAUAAUAUGAUUAUAUGAAUCACAACCAAGUUAACUCAAGUCGGUAUUAAAACCUUAAAUAUAGAUAUUGAUUUUGUGGUACUUCUUCCCUCGCUUCUUUUUUUGGAGCUACAGGCUUAAAAAUCAGUUCAUGGCGAAACCAAAAUAUGUUAUUGGCACUUGGCAGCAGUGAAUCGGUACUUCAUCUCUCCUCUUAUAUUUUUUAUCAAUUGUUACCUCUUUCUUUGAUCAAUUUGUUUCUUAUUGUUUACCUAAGUUAUUCUUUAUGUCAUUAAUUUGUUUGUUAGUAAUUGUUUACCUUGCUCUUUCUUUCUAUGAUUCAAUAUGGCUGCUGCUUAAUUUGUCUGAAAACAAGCUUAUUGGUUUUGUGCCCUAACCAAUUUAAGCCCUUUUUAUUCUGCUUAACUAGUGUGUUCAUUAUGAUUGAUAUUUGUUUCUUGUUUCCUUCAGUUUUUCCCCCUGCAUCCAUAUAUUCUUGCAGUGAGUUCCCCCCCAAUAUAACUGGUUCAUAGUAUUAAAAGCUUUUACUUUAUUAAUUUACCCUGCUACUCCGGUAGGAAGUGUGUUUAUGCUUGUACAAGUGUCAAGAAUUUUGUAAAUAUGUUUCCAAAUUAUGGACAAUGCUGAAAAAAGUAUUACCUGCAAAAAAGUUAUGAAUUGGUGUACUUUUUAAAGCCUUGUAUACUUUGCUUAUACAUGCUAAUUCAUGUACAUAUUGGUUCCUUUAUUUCUAUCACAGUAUUACCUGCAAGAACAUAAAGCAAAAUCGAAAAAAAUUUACUCUGCGGAAAAUACAAGUCAAGUUACAUUUGUUAUUGAUAUUAAGGUACUUUUUUAACAACGGAGGAAGUUCUCCCACAAAAUUAGACUCGGUUAUGUUCAACCACAUGGGCAUCCCUUUAAGAACACUUUCCUUUUGUUCUCCAAUUUGAAGUAGUAAAAAAAACAUUUGUCCACAUGAUUAAUGAGAUACUUAUCAAAACUCCCCCUACACUAACUUACUCGACGAUCACUUAAUUGCACGAACAUAUACUCACAAGGUUAAAUUAAAUUACCCCAUACUUGGCCAAAUUUAUCAUCUUUCAUAAAGUGGCAAGUGAUGUUUUGGUUACUGUAUUAGUGGUCGACGUCUAGUUUGUAAUAUUUUUUUUGAGUACAAUAAUGUCUUUGUAACAUUAAGAGAUUCAGUAAUCAUAAUGAAAAUCGACCCCUAGUACAAUAACUAAAACAUCAAUUAACGAAAACAAGAAAUACAAGGCAAAGUCUUGAUGAUCAUGUAACAGAAUAUAGACUGCUUAUUUUACAUGAAUCUGUAUUUGUUAUCGCUAUACUAACCGACCUGAUUAUAUUUUGCUCAGAUCUCCUAAAUGGUUUCAUUUAUGCGCUUUCCUGGAUGUUACCCAUGACAUCUUCAAUAAAAUGCCUGAGUGAAAUGUGAGAUGACCCGCCGUCCACCAUGGCCAUUCUACUCUUCUCUUUCAUCUCUUUCACCUUCUUCCUCAUUUCACUCGCUGCAUUCAUCAGACAUUUUAUACCUUUCUCUAUCUCGUCUGCAGUCACAACCAACGGUUCAGUUGCAAUAGAAGAAUCUUUUCUAUAAUCCAUUUUGAUCUCCACAGCCAUUCCCAACUCCUUCACCAACUCAAAUGCAUCGAGUUGCUGCUCUGCAUGUAUAGGCCAAGUAGCCAUUGGAACCCCACACCAUAUACUCUCUAAUGUAGAAUUCCAUCCACAGUGAGACACGAAUCCUCCAACCGCAGGGUGGGAUAGAACCACCACUUGUGGCGCCCACCCGAUCACUUUCCCAAUCCCUGUAGUCCGUUUUAUGAAUCCUUCUGGCAACACUUCAUUGUGAUUCUCAUACUCUUUGGGCAAUCCAAAUAAUUCCGUCGGCUGAGGCGGGGGACGUAAUGACCACAAGAAUCGCUGUCCACUACGCUCCAAUCCAUAUGCUAUCUCCUUAACUUGUUCUUCAUCAAAGCUUCCCAAACUCCCAAAGCACAAAAACACUACCGACAAUGGCGGCUGAUUGUCCAACCAGCUAAUGAUACCAUCUUCAGAAUUGUGGUUUUGUGGUGUUCCCUCCUUGCUCUUGAGGUUGAUUAUGGGUCCCACAUGGUAGACAGGGGGGAUCUUGCCAUUAUCAGCAAGGCACUUAAUUGCAUGCGGUUCCAGCUCUGAGAACGUGUUGACUAGAAUGGCCUUGGUUUCUUUAAACCUUCGGGAAAUAGAUUGAAUCAUGGUCGAUCCUUCCUUGAUCAGCAUCACAGAAGGUAAAACCUUAGCAGGCACUGGAUUAACAAAACACGGGACAGAUAACUCGACAUCCGAGUCCUUAUACUGAAUAACAUCUUGUUUGUGUUCAUCAUCGAGGCUCAGAUGGUAGAACUGGAGGCCAAGAUAAGCAGCACCAGAAGUAAAGAACACAUAGCUUGGAACCCUAAAUUCAUUAGCCACGUCUAUCAUAGGGGUACAAAACAUGUCAAUGACGAACCCAGCGAGCUUAUUAGACUCAGACCGGCUAACAAUUCCUUUGACAGCAUCUCUCACCUGAGUCUUCUGACUCUCGAUGAAGGCCCGAAANNNNNNNNNNNNNNNNNNNNNNNNNNNNNNNNNNNNNNNNNNNNNNNNNNNNNNNNNNNNNNNNNNNNNNNNNNNNNNNNNNNNNNNNNNNNNNNNNNNNGAAAUCUUGGAUUUUUGGAAAGUUUCUAAAUGCAGAUUUUGGUAGACUUCUACAUGGAAUUGGAUUGAUAUUUCUAUUAGCUUUAGGAUUUCCUUUAGACUAAGAUUUAUUUCCAAAUUGAAUUCUAUUUCUUUAUGGAAACUAGUUAUGAUUUGUAAAUCCUUUUAGGAUUUGGAUUUCUACAUCCUAUAGGAUUUAGGACUUUGUCUAGCACUAUAAAUAGAGGAUGAGGGUCAAGGUUUUAUUCAUUCAAUAUUCAACAUUCAAGUAUCCUCUAUUGGAGUGAAGGCUCAAGAGCAUGUCAGGCUAGUUCUUUUUAUUCAGUUCUAAAGGGAGGUGAAUCCUUGUUACAAGUAAUUAAUUAAUUGAGUAUUAUUAUUUAUUCCUUCUUGUGUGAAAUUUCUUCUGAUAAUCUGUUUUCAUUGAUUGCAUGCUAAUUGAUCUAAUUAAUUUAAUAUGGCCAAUUGAGUUAAUUUGAUCAUUAUCAUAUGCUAGAUUAAGAUUGGUAUUACGUGUAAUUGAUAUCUCUCUUCAUCACAAGUAGCAACUUGGUAAUAAUAAUUGUGGACAAACUUUUGUUUAUUGCUAAGAUUAUUAGAAAACAAGUUAAAUAAAUCGAGCUUAUGUGUUUGUUGCUUGGAUUAGCCUAAUUUUCUAUUUCUUAAUGCUUCUAUCAUAUUAAAUCUAGAGAGCUUAUUCUAGGUUAUAUGCUAGUUAGAAUCUGGUGGAGAGCUUGUUUCAUACAGUGAUAAUCUAAGGAGAAUUUCGGAUAGCAGAGCUUAUUGUUAUCUAGGGCUAAUAAUUUCAUUGAAGGAAAAAUAAUAAUUACUUGAUUAAUUGAUUGUUGUACUUGGUGAAACUGAACUGCAGAACUGAAGUUUUACAUAUUUGGUUAAUUUUAUCGUUAAUUCUUGUUCUCUUAGUUUAAAAAUAAUUUUCAAAACCCCCAUCUUUAUUUUCUGUUAAAAUAGUAGAAUAAUUCUAAAACAACUUUACUCUCUGUGGGAUCGAUCCUUACUUGCUAUUGUGCUAAUUAUUGUAAAUUGUGGAGUGAAAGUGAGGUUAAUUUAGGAGUGUCAACGACAGCUCCCAGUGUUGUUCCCUCCUUGAUCUUGAGGUUGAUUACAGGUCCCACAUGGUAGACAGGGGGGAUCUUGCCAUUAUCAGCAAGGCACUUAAUCGCAUGCGGUUCCAGCUCUGAGAAAGUUUGACUAGAAUGGCCUUGGUUUCUUUAAACCUUCGGGAAAUAGAUUGAAUCAUGGUCGAUCCUUCCUUGAUCAGCAUCACAGAAGGCAAAACCUUAGCAGGCACUGGAUUGACAAAGCACGGGACAGAUAACUCGACAUCCGAGUCCAUAUACUGAAUAACAUCUUGUUUGUGUUCAUCAUGGAGGCUCAGAUGGAAGAACUGGAGGCCAAGAUAAGCAGCACCAGAAGUAAAGAACACAUAGCUUGGAACCCCAAAUUCAUUAGCCACGUCUAUCAUAGGGGUACAAAACAUGUCAAUGACGAACCCAGCGAGCUUAUUAGACUCAGACCGGCUAACAAUUCCUUUGACAGCAUCUCUCACCUGAGUCUUCUGACUCUCGAUGAUGGCCCGAAAGAUAGACAAUCGGUCCGCAGUCUUGAUAGUCUUGAUCAUUGAGAUAGCGGACUCGUCCGGAGG